UACGGAGGAUGCAAGCGUUAUCCGGAAUGAUUGGGCGUAAAGCGUCCGCAGGUGGCAAUGUAAGUCUGCUGUUAAAGAGUCUAGCUCAACUAGAUAAAAGCACUGGAAACUACAUAGCUAGAGUACGUUCGGGGCAGAGGGAAUUCCUGGUGUAGCGGUGAAAUGCGUAGAGAUCAGGAAGAACACCAGUGGCGAAGGCGCUCUGCUAGGCCGUAACUGACACUGAGGGACGAAAGCUAGGGGAGCGAAUGGG
rnacentral:rRNA from 1 species